AGAAAGUGUCUUUUAAAGAGUUAGUGUCUUGAAAACACUACGUCGAGAGGGCAGAACUCUCGGCUUUCUU
rnacentral:tRNA from 1 species